rnacentral:rRNA from 1 species
CCCUAUGGGGUGCAGCAGGCGCCGGAUUUCAUGCUCCCGUCCAUCGCGGGGCAGAAGGUCACCCUGGGCCAGUACCGCGGGAAGAAGAACGUGGUGCUCUCCUUCGUUCCCGCCGCGUGGACCCCCGUCUGCUCGGACCAGUGGCCGGGCUACAACAUCGUGAAGGACCUCUUCGACGCAAGCGACGCCGUCCUGCUGGGCAUCACCGUCGACAACAUUCCCACCCUCUAUGCCUGGACCAACCAGAUGGGGCAUCUCUGGUUCCCCGUGCUCUCCGACUUCUACCCCCACGGGAAGGUCGCCGAGACCUACGGGGUGCUGCGCAGCGACGGCACCUCCGAGCGGGCCCUCUUCGUCAUCGACAAGAAGGGCAUCAGCCGCGGGAUCGACGUCCACGACAGCAACAAGCGGCCGCCCCUGGAGAGC